rnacentral:lncRNA from 1 species
GUUGGUUAAGUGUGACAACUGUCAAUAUACAAUUGUCAAAAGGAGCAAACUAACCCUAUAAAUGUGACUUGUAGUGCCAUAACAAGCUAACCGAAAAUAAAUCAAUGAAAACUACUCUUCUUCUAGAAUCUUCUGCUCCUCUUCUUCGAGCUCUCAGCUCAAUACUAUAGAAAUAUAACAUGGUAUCAAAGCCACUACUGAUCGCUAGCUAUAAUCAGUACUAGAGACUAUCGAUUUCACCUGAUCAAUGAGAAUAACAGCUACUGUUCUAUUGCUUACAGUAAGCUUUAAUGGCGGUUACUCGAAACUCAGCUGCAAAUCCUUCAACUACAACUGCAGCACCUAGAAAUACACCUACUUCAGCUGGUACAAUUGAAAUUGACCACAAUCAUCCUCUGUAUUUGCAUCUAAACGACACUCCAGAUAGCUCUCUUAUUUCUAUCCAGCUUACUGGCACUGAAAAUUGUGCCAUGUGGAGUAGAUCUAUGGCGUUGAGUCUCAUAGGCAAGAACAAAAUAGUUUUUAUUGAUGGGAGAUAUCCUAAAAAUCACUUUGAUGAAUCAUUACAUGAUCAGUGGGAGAGAUUUAAUGCUGUUGUUUUGUCAUGGAUUAUGAAUUUAGUACGAAAGGAUCUGUUGAGUAGUAUUAUCUAUGCCUCUAAUGAUCAUAAUGUGUGGAUAGAUUUACAGGAAAGGUUUGAUAAGGUGAAUGGCUCUAGAGUAUUCUACUUGCAUAGAGAAAUUGUGACCCUCUCUCAGGGAACUCUGUCAGUUGCUGAUUAUUUUUCUCGAAUAAGAACUCUUUGGGAUGAAUGUGAUGCUAUUAUGCCUUCUCCUAGAUGUAGCUGCCCUGAAUCUAGAAGUUAUGCCCAACACUUUGAUUAUCAAAAAGUAUUACAGUUUCUAAUGGGUGUAAAUGAGACAUACUCUUAGUGUAGAAGCCAAAUCCUGUUAAUAACCCCUGUACCAUCCAUUAGCAAAGUGUACUCCAUGAUUGUGGAUCAUGAAAGUCAAAGAUCCAUAGCUUUUGGUUCCGUUGUGGGUCAUAUUAGUGAUACACUGGAUACAACAACUCUCUUUACCCAUAAACCAGGUUAUAAAGGCAAAAGUGGAUAUCUAGGUCCUAGUGGUUCAGGAGGUACAAGUUCAGUUAAGAUGACAAGUAUCUAUGAGGGAAGACCACCAGCUUCCACCUAUAGAGGUUCUCCACAGAAAAGACCACCAAUGGUUUGUGAGUUUUGUGGUUAUAAUGGUCAUACUAAGGAUCAAUGUUUCAAUAUGAUUGGUUACCCAUCAGAUUGUCCCAAGUCCAAGAAGAAAGGAUCAAAACAGUAUGGACAUAUGGUAGACUCUGCAUUCCCUGUGGACACAUGCUCUACUAGUGAUAAGUUGUCUCAAGCCAGUUCAUCCCAGACUACUUCGAGUCCUACUCCUCAUUUUACACCAGAACAAUAUCAAUAACUUGUCAUGCUGCUUAACAAAGGAAAGGAGGACAAGGAUUCCAUUUCCCCUGCAGAAAAUGUAGGUAUCAUAAUAGCUCCAACUAGUCCUACUGUAAGUGAUAGGUGGAUUAUUGACUCUGGUGCUACUAAUAUAUGGUAUUCAACCCUGAUAUGUUGCAUAGUUAUCAUAAAAUGCCUCAGUCUUCACAAAGUCAGGUCUAUCUUCCAACAGGUGAUGAGGUUUCAGUCUCUCACAAAGGAACCUCUGGUGUACUCAACAAUUCCCUCAUUACUGAUGUCUUAUAUCUGCCUGAGUUUAAAUAUAAUCUUCUAUCUAUAUCAAAACUUACCAAGGAGUUGCAAUGUUCAGUGAACUUUUUUCCUAACUUCUGCAUCUUCCAGGAUCUCUAUACUAGCACAGUGUUGGGGAUUGGUAAAAAGAUCAAGGGAUUUACAUUCUCCUAAAUGCUUCCUCUAAACUUACAAGUGUAAACAAGUGUGCCAAUAAUGUGAAGUUGUUGUCUGAUUCCAGUGUUCUGUGGUACAAAAGGCUGGGUCAUACACCUGUUAAGAUGCUUAAAAGGCAUACUGAACUAAGUUAUUUGAAGUUUGAAGAUCACAUAUGCACUGUGUGUCCCCUUUCUAAGCUGACUAAACUUUCUUUUUAGCAUAACAACUCUGUGUCUAAGGCCCCCUUUCAUCUUCUUCAUUGUGAUAUAUGGGGACCUUAUAGAGUGCCUACCUAUGAUAAAAAGAGAUUCUUUGUUACCAUUGUUGAUGAUCAUUCUAGAUUCAGUUGUUUGUUUCUUAUCCAGUUUAAGUCUGAAGUGAUAGUUGUACUCAAAGAUUUUCUGACUAGAAUGCAAAACUUAUUUUCUACUUUUGUGAAAAUUUUGAGAACUGAUAAUGGUUGUGAGUUCUUUAGUCAUGAAUUAAAAUCUCUUAUGUCUAAUCUUGGUAUUUUGCAUCAAACUUCAUGUGUCUAUACCCCUCAAAAGAAUGGGCUGGUGGAAAGAAAACACAGAACUAUUUUGGGAGUUGCAAGAUCCCUCAGAUUUCAAGCAGGUGUACCUCUCAAUUUUUGGGGUGAAUGUGUUGAGACUUUUGUGUACUUGCUGAAUAGAAUUCCCUAAAAAAUACUUCACUAUAAAUCUCCCUUUGAAAUCCUCCACCAACAGGUGCCUUCACUUUCUCAUUUAAAAGUCUUUGGCUAUUUAGGCUAUCCCUCUAGUCCUCAUUAUUCAGAUAAGUUUGCUGCUAGAGCAAUUCCUUGUGUCUUUAUGGGCUACUCAUCCACCCAGAAAGGGUAUAAACUAUAUGAUCUUCAUACCAGACUAUUCUUUACUAGUAGAAAUGUUAGCUUUCAAGAGUUCACUUUCCCUUUCCUUCACCAAUUUACCACUAACUCUCAAUUGUUUCCUGACUUGCAGUCCACUCUUGUUGAUUAUUCAGUUUCUUUUUUCUCUUUCCCCCCAUUCCUUCUUCUACUUCUUCUCCAGUCUCUCCUGAGCUGGAGCAUGGCCCUGUCCCUUCACCCUCAGCUCCUACUCAUCCCUCUGCAUCUCAUUCUGACCCUUCUCUUCUCAGAAAAUCCACCAAACAUAAGAAACGUCCCAUUUGGAUCCAUGACUUUGUCACUACCAAGUUUGUCUCAGCUAACCAAUGUUUGUAUCCAUUAUCUUCUUAUGUCACAUACUCUCAGUUCUAUCUUCAGUAUAAUCAAGCUCUCUCUGUCUAUUCUUCUAUUCCUGAACCCUCCAUUUUUCUUGAAGCCUCCAAAGAUCCCUCUUAGGUUGAGGCUAUGAAACUGGAGAUUGCAGCUCUUGAGGAGAAUCAUUCUUGGUCUAUUAUUGACUUGCCACCUGGUAAAGUUCCUAUUUAUUGUAGGUGGGUGUAUAAAGUAAAGUACAAGGCAACUGGAGAGGUAGAAAGGUAUAAAGCCAGACUAGUAGCUAAGGUCUAUAGUCAACAGACUGGGGUUGAUUACUCAGAUACUUUCUCUCCUGUGGCAAAGAUAGUGACAGUAAGACCCCUUAUUGCUCUUGCUGCUUCUCGACAAUGGUUGAGUUUUCAAAUGGAUGUGCACAAUGUUUUUCUUAAUGGUGAUCUGUCAGAAGAGGUCUAUAUGCAUAUUCCUGAUGGGUUUUGCAGAAAGUCUGCAAAUUACACAAGUCCUUGUACGGUCUAAAGCAGGCCCCAAGACAGUGGAAUAAGAAGCUUACUAAUGCUCUCUCACAAAAGGGGUUCAAUCAAAGUUAUUAUGACUACUCCUCAUUUACCAAAAAUUUAGAAAAUGAAAUAGUGAUUAUUCUUGUCUAUGUGGAUGAUCUGUUAAUAACAGAAAACAACCUCACCUUAAUUAAUCAAGCUAGAUCGGAUUUGCAACAAAAGUUUAAAAUGAAGGAUCUUGGUGAUCUGAAGUUCUUCUUGGGCAUAGAGGUAACCAGGUCCAAGGAAGGGAUAGUGUUGAAUCAAAGAAAGUAUGCUUUUGAACUUAUAUCUGAGGCUGGACUAAGCGGAUCAAAACCUGCUAGUACUCCACUGGAAAUGAAUCAGAAACUAAUAUCUGUGGAAUAUGACAAUCAUAUGUCCAAUGGAACAAGAGAUGAUGAUACAACUCUGAAGGAUCCAACAACAUAUCAAAGACUAGUAGGAAGGCUAUUGUAUUUCACCAUAACUAGCCUGACUUGUCCUUUGCAGUACAGGUACUAAGUCAGUACAUGCAUUCUCCAAAAACAUCUCACAUGGAAGCUACAUUGAGAGUGGUGAGGCACAUAAAAGGUAAUCUUGGCUUGGGAUUGUUUAUGCCUGCAGAAGCUUCUAACAAGUUGACAGCCUACUGUGACUCUGACUGGGGUGCUUGCUUACAAACUAGAAGAUCUAUGUAAUAAAGUUUGGAGGUGCUUUAGUCUCUUGGAAAUCAAAGAAACAAGAGACUGUGUCCAGGAGCUUUGCAGAAGCAGAGUUUAGAAGCAUGUCUACUUGUAGUGCAGAGAUCACCUGGUUACUUAGACUAUUUCAAGAGCUAGGAAUCCAGAUUAAACAACCUGUAGACUUGAUGUGUGACAUUAAAGCAGCAAUACAGAUUGCUGCUAAUCCUAUUUUUCAUGAAAGGACAAAACACAUUGACAUAGAUUGUCAUUUUGUGAGAGAAAGAAUCAGUCAGAAAAUGAUCAAGACCAAUCAUGUGCCUACAGAGGAGCAGCUAGCAGAUAUUCUCACAAAAUCCUUAGAGAAGAGUCGGCACGAAUAUCUACUAAGUAAACUGGGAAUGAAAAACAUGUUUAAGCCAUCAACUUGAGGUGGAGUGUUAAGAUAGUGGAAAGUGUAAUCAGCAAGUUGAUGAUUAGUUAGAGGAAGUUAGUGUGUGUGAUGUAUGUGUGAGUGAGUGAGUUGGUUAAGUGUGACAGCUGUCAAUAUACAGCUGUCACAAGGAGCAAACUAACCCUAUAAAUGUGACUUGUAGUGCCAUAACAAGCUAACCGAAAAUAAAUCAAUAAAAACUACUUCUAGAAUCUUCUACUCCUCUCCUUCAAGCUCUCAGCUCAAUACUAUAGAAAUCUAACAGUCUCUCAAUCUAUUUUAUCAUCCUUUCUUCUGUUUUUCCUUUCCAUUCAAAAUUCUUUGAAGUAAUUCAUCUAAUUGUGUCAUAGGUAUGGUUUCUAGAUGCUACUCCAGAAGAGGUUCGAGCUGGUGCAGAUGGAGAUGAUCAUCUAGCUGAAUUGAUAUCAUUUCUAAGUAAAUUACCAAAAGAGGUGAGUGCUUUUGGUGAUUUCUAUUUGUGAAAAAAUGUGUACGUGUAUAUUGCUUUACAUGAACUUUAACAAAUUUCAUGCUCUCUUUCUUACUGCCAACUCUUCAUGAUAUCUUUAUAUGUGUUCCUUUUUAGACUCUUGAGUAGAAAUUAGAGUCGGAGGUACAGUGGGCCUUAGCAUGAUCGUUAUCUGAUCUGUAUAGUUAAAAGCAACAAAAUAGGAGCGCAUCUUGGAGAACGAAAGUUUUUUCUUAGGUUGUUUAUUGUCUUUUGUUUCUUUUCCAUGUUUAUACUUCUAGAGUUAU